GUCUGGGUUCUCGUCUCCGGACGAUACGAUGGCUCCGAGGUCCUCCUCCUCGAGCUGCCACCGGUACCUCCACUCCGCCUACUACCUCAGGCACCCGAUGCGGCUCGCCUUCGUCUUCGUCAUCUUCGUUAUUGCCAUCUGGGAUUGGCCUUCCCUACCUAAUCCGGGAGCAUGAGGUGAGGGACGCCCCAUCCUUCGUUCCGCUCGUAUGUUUCUUUCUUCCCUAAUUUUUGUCUUUGCUUGAUUCUGAUCGUUGGCUAGAUUUGAAGUUCUUGCUGAUUGGAUCAUCUUAUAUUGCUUGCCUAUAAAAACCUACACACCAGAGUUCUUUACCUUUAAUGAGAAAAAAAAAAAAAAAGGCUGGAACAAGAAUGGUCUAUCUGUGGAGCCAUCAUUUCUUCUUUGUUGGUUGGAACUGGAGAGCCCCUUAACUUUUCUGGCUGAUAUUACCCAACUUGGGGAAGAAUUGAACCGAUUGCACGAUCAUCUACAGAAAGUAGAGGGGUGGUGGUCAUGCGGGGUGAAGUUUCCUCUGGUACAAAUGACAAACUUAUCGAUGAAUUUGAUCUUGUUAACAAUCAACGUAGAGAAAAGGUUAAGAUUCAAUUGUAAUUACGUGAUGUCUUUCCCUCUAUGACCGGUCGCAAUCAAAGAGUGGUGUGAAUAGUUUUUGUGGUCUUGGAGCAACCCUUGUGGACUCUCUCCAUGCACUAUACGUAAUGGAUCUAAAAGAUGAAUUUGAGAAGGCUAGAGAGAGGACGCUGUGACAUCCAACGACGAGUGUGUCAGGGCCGGCAGUUGGCACGCCUUGGGGGGACCUCCUCCUCCACCACCACCACGAUGGCGUCAGGCGUACGGACGGCUGCAGCGGAGCAGGUACGGCGGCUCGUCCGCCCUUCCGUGGAAACACGGACAGGAGCAAGUGACGCGUCGGAGUCACGUGAGCCGAGAUGCGUUCCGUCGUCGGCCUCCUCGGGCAAGCCCACCACCAACCUGUUGCUGCUCGCGAUACGGCUACCUCGCGUGAAACCGACGGCGGCCGUGGGAGUAGGUGGCGUGUCGGCGUCACGUGAUGGGCGCAACAUGACUGCUACUACGUACGGUCGUAAGUGGAUCUUACCUCCCACGUGCGAGGCAGAUCUCUGAUCCAGUAUUUGGACUGCUGCAUCUACCGAAAGGGAAUGCGUCGAUGAAUGAUGGUCCAUAUUAGAAUGCGUAUAAUCCUAAUCUCUGUAUAAUUCCAAUGCAAGCAGACACAUUUGAUGCAUAACUUGCAACGUGUUCUCUUACACGAA